UACGUAGGGUCCGAGCGUUGUCCGGAAUUACUGGGCGUAAAGAGCUCGUAGGUGGUUUGUCGCGUUGUUCGUGAAAACUCACAGCUUAACUGUGGGCGUGCGGGCGAUACGGGCAGACUUGAGUACUGCAGGGGAGACUGGAAUUCCUGGUGUAGCGGUGGAAUGCGCAGAUAUCAGGAGGAACACCGGUGGCGAAGGCGGGUCUCUGGGCAGUAACUGACGCUGAGGAGCGAAAGCGUGGGGAGCGAACCGG
rnacentral:rRNA from 1 species